GGGGACCAACAGUUGGACACGACUGACUAAUGCCGCAUUAUAGCUUGAGGGUGAAAGCAACAAUGCGCUAUCAGAUGCGCCCAAACGGGAUUAGCUAGUAGGUGAGGUAAAGGCUCACUUAGGGGCCGAAUCUCUAGCUGGUCUGAGAGGAUGAUCAACCACACUCGGAGUGUGACACGGCCCAGACUCCUACGGGAGGCAGCACUAGGGAAUGAUGCACAACGGGGGAAACCCUGAUGCAGCCACGCCCCGUGUGUGAAGAAGGCCUUCGGGUUGUAAAGCACUUUCGGAGGGGAGGAACAAAUGACGUUACCCUCAGAAGAAGCACCGGCUAACUCCGUGCCAGCAGCCGCGGUAAUACGGAGGGUGCAAGCGUUAAUCGGAAUAACUGGGCGUAAAGGGCAUGCAGGCGGUGAAACAAGUAUUAUGUGAAAUCCCCGGGCUCAACCUGGGAACUGCAUUCUAAACUGUAUAACUAGAGUAGUGCAGGGGGAGACGGAAUUCCAGGUGUAGCGGUGGAAUGCGUAGAUAUCUGGAAGAACACCAAGGGCGAAGGCAGUCUCCUGGGCAAAUACUGACGCUCAGACGCGAAAGCGUGGGUAUCAAACAGGAUUAGAUACCCUGGUAGUCCACGCCGUAAACGAUGUCAAAUAGGAGUCUGGUGAUCAACUAUCGGUCCGCAGCUAACG
rnacentral:rRNA from 1 species